ensembl:lncRNA
GGAAAACAGUACUAGAUGUGUUGAACUGAUGUAUGAGCAUAUUGUGAAUGAGUUCUGGGAUGAGCACAGCCAAGUCUUUAUGAUUAGAGCAUGCAGUUCUUAGGUACACGUUUUAUAGUAUCCAGGUGACAUUAUCCAGUGUAGAAAGGUCGAGUCUUGGUCAUAAGGUGCUUGUUUUUUUUUGGAAGUGAAGAUCUUCCAACAAACAUAGGGUACGGUGACCAUGUCCACAUGUGACCAUCUACAGCAGCAGAAGGUUUUCAAACCUAUUCCCCCGUGUCGAGUUUGUAGAUGGCUGUGAUGCGGGACAUUUGUUCGAGGCGCUGUCAUGAGGACGCCAUUCCUUGGCACCGUCUGCAGAUGGCACGAGGGUCACGGGGAACCUGGAGCCUAUCCCAGGGAGCAUCGGGCACAGUACACCUUGGACAGGAUGCCAAUCCAUCACAGGGCACAAUCACAUACACAUCAAUCAGCCUACCAUGCAUGUCUUUGGACUGGGGGAGUAUCCAGAGGAAACCCCCGCAGCACGGGGAGAACAUGCAAACUCUGCACACACAGAGCCACGGGAAUCAAAC